AGUGAACGCUGGCGGUAGGCCUAACACAUGCAAGUCGAACGGCAGCACAGUAGGAGCUUGCUCUUACGGGUGGCGAGUGGCGGACGGGUGAGGAAUACAUCGGAAUCUACUUUUUCGUGGGGGAUAACGUAGGGAAACUUACGCUAAUACCGCAUACGACCUACGGGUGAAAGCAGGGGAUCUUCGGACCUUGCGCGAUUGAAUGAGCCGAUGUCGGAUUAGCUAGUUGGCGGGGUAAAGGCCCACCAAGGCGACGAUCCGUAGCUGGUCUGAGAGGAUGAUCAGCCACACUGGAACUGAGACACGGUCCAGACUCCUACGGGAGGCAGCAGUGGGGAAUAUUGGACAAUGGGCGCAAGCCUGAUCCAGCCAUACCGCGUGGGUGAAGAAGGCCUUCGGGUUGUAAAGCCCUUUUGUUGGGAAAGAAAAGCAGCAGGUUAAUACCCCGCUGUUCUGACGGUACCCAAAGAAUAAGCACCGGCUAACUUCGCG
rnacentral:rRNA from 1 species